CACUUUUCUCUCUGAGACUAAAAAAGAAGCUAUAGUGCGACCACCUCGGCCCCUCGGCGCCUUCAUCGCCGACCUCCGGCGGCCUCCACUCCCAGAUUCGCCACGCCACCGCCGCCUACCGCCGCGCCUCCACCUCGGCAAGCAGCAACACCAAGGUGCUCUGAGGCAGGGAGUACCUUCUAGAUGGUGGCCAAGAACGAGAUGUGGGCAGCUAAAGAGGCAGCAGCGAGGGCACGGGCAGUCGACGAGUCGAAGAAGUACAAGAGAUCGCUUGUGGAGAUCGGUGUGAUGCUGUCGAUCAGCGCCAUCUGCAUCCUCUCGAGCUUCCUUGUGCCGGGGAUUUCCUGGCAGCAGCAGAUCAUGUGCUGGCAGAACGCGAUGAUCGCCUUUGCCUCCGCCGCGAUGUUCACCUGGAUGCACCUGAGGAACUUUCGCUGGAACGUCCACAAGAUCGAGUCGCCUCUAGUUUAAAGGGGGGGGAGGGACCAUCGGUGGAGGAGAAUAUGUAGCCUGCUGGCCUUGAAUAUCUAAUUAUGUAGGGAGGUGUGUAAUGAUCAUGGAUUCAGAAAUUUUAUCCCUAGUUGCUCUAAGCCUUCAACUUUUGUAGUUUGUUAGAUGAGGAUUAUCCGGGUUUAAGAUGGUCUAUGGUAAUGUGGCUGCCCAGGUAUGAUUGCGUUGCUGUUUGAGGUCUCAAUCCAUAACAACACUUGGGAGUUGGAGCAUACUAUGCUCUGUUAUGUUAUGCCAUGAAUAUUGUGAUUA